rnacentral:rRNA from 1 species
AUUGAACGCUGGCGGCAGGCUUAACACAUGCAAGUCGAGCGAGCGGCGGACGGGUGAGUAAUGUCUGGGAAACUGCCUGAUGGAGGGGGAUAACUACUGGACACGAUAGCUAAUACCGCAUAACAUCAGAUGUGCCCAGAUGGGAGUAGCUAGUAGGUGGGGUAAUGGCACACCUAGGCGACUAUCCCGAGCUGGUCUGAGAGGAUGACCAGCCACACGGGACAUGAGACACGGUCCAGACUCCGACGGGAGGCAGCAGAGGGGAAUAUUGGACAAUGGGCGCAAGCCUGAUGCAGCCAUGCCGCGUGGGUGAAGAAGGCCUGCGGGUUGUAAAGCACUUUCAGCGAGGAGGCGUUACUCGCAGAAGAAGCACCGGCUAACUCCGUGCCAGCAGCCGCGGUAAUAC